UACGAAGGGGGCUAGCGUUGCUCGGAAUCACUGGGCGUAAAGGGUGCGUAGGCGGUUAAUUAAGUCAGUGGUGAAAUCCUGGAGCUCAACUUCAGAACUGCCAUUGAUACUGGUUGACUUGAGUACAGACGAGGUUGGCGGAAUUGAUGGUGUAGCGGUGAAAUGCAUAGAUACCAUCAAGAACACCGAUUGCGAAGGCAGCUAACUAGGCUGUAACUGACGCUGAGGCACGAAAGUGUGGGGAUCAAACAGG
rnacentral:rRNA from 1 species